UACGUAGGUGGCAAGCGUUGUCCGGAUUUAUUGGGCGUAAAGGGAGCGCAGGCGGUGACUUAAGUCUGAUGUGAAAGCCCACGGCUCAACCGUGGAAGGUCAUUGGAAACUGGGUCACUUGAAUAUGGAAGAGGAAAGUGGAAUUCCAUGUGCAGCGGUGAAAUGCGUAGAUAUAUGGAGGAACACCAGUGGCGAAGGCGACUUUCUGGUCUAUUAUUGACGCUGAGGCUCGAAAGCAUGGGUAGCAACAGGAUUAGAUA
rnacentral:rRNA from 1 species